UAUAAUUCCCUGUAAUAACCAAAAAGGAGAGGUGAAGAAUGUGAUAUUUAGCAUGAAUUAAUGCUCCCUUUUGAGGCUGGUAGCCUAUAUAAACCUGUAGAUUAAAACACUUUAUUAUGUGCACUCAGGCUUGGGUGUAGAUGUGUAGAUAUAUACAAGUAUUCAUAGAAUACUUUUUGAUAUUUUAUUGGUACUAGUUACAGUAGUAUUAGUAUGGAUUAUAUGGAAAAAAUAUUGUGGUAACAUUGCUUUUAGUGAUUAUUUUCAUGUAGUAUACCUAUCAGAUUGGUCCUUGGUAAAAAGUUUUUAUGAUCUUCAGUAAUGUCUAUUAACAUGUUCCUUUUUUCUUAUAGCUGUAAGUUAUACCAUCUUUUAGAUGUUUUCUUCAUUAAUACCGUAUUGCCUUUGACAAUGCAAUCCUCUACCAGCAUUUACAAUCUUCUCUCCAUAGGCAGUCUUUGACAAUUCAGUCCUUUUUUCACUUUAAAUAUUAUUUUUAGGAAAAUUCCCAGAUCUUCACAUACUGAAGCUCUCCUGAUCAUCUGAUUUUUCUCUUUUAUGUAAAGGAAUUUUUUAAAAGUGAUUGCCAAAUGUAUAUCAUUCCUCAGAGGCUUCUACAGUUUUGUGAAUGAGGACCAUCUUGUACCAAGAACUUUGAAUCAGUCUUAUUAAAAGAAAAUAAGGCACAGCUGUCCAUAGAAUGACCCUUAUGCACACACAUGUAAUGGUUAUUUUACUGUUUCAAGUACAUAAUUUUGCUUUAGUCAUUUGAUAUCCAUGUUGAAGAGAAUGUGAUCUUCAAAAUAAAUUCCUGCAUUACUCACAAAAAGUGCCAUUGCUGCGAUUGCUGCUUGGAAUAUGUGAAAUUUGUAAAUUUACAAAUACGUACCAAAAAGAAGGGCUUACUCAACCAAAAAUAUUUUAUUGUUAUUAUUAAUUAUUAUUAUUAUUAGGGAGGAGACCUUCUUUGAGGGCAGUAGCAUUGAAAAUUAUGGCUGUUUCUAUGGCAUUUAAUUUGUACAGCAUUCUCAAUUUAUCUUAAAGUCUUUUCAUCAGCAUGUAGGUGUUAUAAUAAUCUAGACGACAAGGCAGAUAUUCCUGCACUAGUGAGAUUUUUAAAAUGUAUUAAGAUUUUGUAUGAAAUUUAGUAGCAUGAUAAAUUUUAACCUAUUGAUUUUUUUCAUAGUUAUCAUUUGAAGUACCUAAUUAUUUUUAAUUAAGGUGUAAAUGGUGCUAAAUGAAUGUAUGCAUGUCAGAUAGUUUUUAAAUUGUUGUAAUUUCAACUAUGUGAUUUUUUUAUUUUGGUGUAAAUGGUUUUGAAUGAGAGUGAAUGUCUUGGUUUUAAUUGCUGUGUAUAAUUAGAUCUUAAUUUUAGUUGUUGUGUAUCAUUGGGUAUUUUUAAUUGCAGUUUUAAUUGAUCAGUUGUAUAAAAGAUUUUAAUUGAUUCACUUAUUCAUUCAUUUAAUCCACUUCAUUCAAUCACAUAUACCACUACAGUGCUGAAUGGCCUUUACAGGUCCCAGUGCUUAGGCUAUGCCCUAAAUUCCAUGAUCAAUCAAUCAAACUAAGCACAAAUAAAGAUUUCUGUUUUCUUAGGUUUAUUUCCUCUUAACGUGUCGGCAGCAUACUGGUGGUCAUCUAAGAGUACAAAAGCCAAUUAAUUGAGAUACAUGAUGUACAGGUAUUUAUUUAUAGCAGGCAGUGUAUUUACAAUUGGUGUGUUGUUAGUAGGCCAAAUUUUGUUAAGUCAUAGGUUUGUAACUAUAAUGAAAAGUCGGCCUACUAACAACCCACCAAUUGUAAACAUACUGCCUGCUAUAAAUACCUGUACCUUAUGUACUUCAAUUCAUUCGCUUUGGUAUUCUCAUAGAUGACCAACAGUUUGCUGUUGACACAUUAGAGGAAAUAAACCUAAGGCAACAGAAAUCUUUAUUUGUCCUUAGGAAACGUGAUAUACCAGCUACAUGCUGAGGAAAAGAUUGUAAGAUGAAUAGAGAACAUUACAAAUUAAAUGCCACGGAAACAGCUGUUAUUAUUAUUACAUGUACGUAUUAUAGAAGUGAAACUCACCAAAUAUUACUAUUAAAAAAUAUGAUAUAUUACCUAUGUAUUUUUAAGAGAAAGACUGAUGGUGUCAGUUAUACUAAAGAGAGACUGCUGUUGACUAUCUCUGUGCUGCAUUAUUAUGUAGGAGUUCAUAUGUACUGUGCGUACAUCAUAGUUCAAUAUAUAUUUAUGCUGGCUAAUCUGUCACAAUAUCUUUUACUUAGGAAUUUUGUGUAUUAAUCCUAGCGCUUACAGUCUGGGGGCUGGUAAUGAUUAUAAAAUAAAAUGUAUUUCACUGAUAAAAAACCUGCUUGCUGUAGUAUAUGAGUUUAUCACUCCACUAUUUAGAGAGAUGACAAACUGAAUUAUUUACAAAGAUAAACUUUUUCUUUUGGGAUAUGAUCUGUAGGUAAAAAUAGUUGUGAGUGUAAGUUAGUCAAAUGGCUAACUUUCACAGAAAACUGCACUAGGUUUGUAUUAUAUCGUUUCAGUUUGGAAAGAUAUUUCCUGGCAAUAGAGCAGAUAGUUCAGGUUGGUAAGGUUGUCCUUAGAAAUUUAGCAUGGAAGGUGAGAGCCAAGGGUCCCAAUAACCUUCUAGAAGGCUGUGAUGUGUUGUCAGCCAACUCAAGGAUGAAGGUAUGCUCAAAAGUUCAGGUCAUGGUUACUUUAUUGCUAGUUGGUAAUGUGGUAUGCUAUAGUAGAUAACAGUUCAGCCACAUAGUUGAGCAGUAAUUAAUCAUAGUAAAAUCAACCACAUAGUUGAACAGUAAUUAAUCAGGUAACGAAGGGAGUUAUGAAGGAGAUGGACUGGAGCCCGUAACACAGUUUAGUGAUCCACUGUUCCCCAUUUACUGAAAGAUAAAAUAUUAAAUUUAAUGGUCCUUCUUAUAGGUAGAAGUGUCUUAAUGAGAUUACUUCAGUAAUUUAAAGGAAAAUGCUCAUAGAAUAAGCCAGUGCACUUUUAUAUAUGUGAUGAAGGUAACUAAAUGAUGGAAACAUUUGCUAAGAAGUGAAAUCAUCAGAAUAUCAAAGCGCCUCAUCGCCGUGGUUGGUAUGGUAUUAGCGUCCCACCUCAGUGGUCGCAGGUUCGAGUCUCGGCCAUUUCGUUGAGGAGUGAGAGAUGUGUAUUUCUGGUGAUAGAAGUGCACUCUCGACGUGGUUCGGAAGUCACGUGAAGCCGUUGGUCCCGUUGCUGAAUAACCACUGGUUCCAUGCAAUGUAAAAGCACCAUACAAACAAACAAACAUCAGAAUAUCAGAAGCUAAUCACUGACUGAAAUGUAAGUGUGGCAUAUAAAACCAGCACAGAACAUUUUAAUUUUCUACGGUAUAUGAGAACAGGUCCCCUAAGUUUAAAAUCAGUUCAUGAAAUACUCAAGGCUUUGUUGCUGGAGCACCCAAACACAAUGAAAGUGAGUGAAAAUGAGUGACAACAAUUCUUGUUGUAAGUGAUUUCUAGGUCUUCCAACUGCAAGCUGAUUAACAGACUUAAUGCAGGUAGAGUGGAAAAAUACACUUGAGAUGAUUUAGGUAUUUGUUGAGAUAGGACGUGUAGCACUCUGGUAAAAAAAUUUGGGAUAUUGGUAAUGAAAUGACUGUACUAUAUGCAAAGUAAUGAGGGUCAGGUCCCAGUGCUUGGGCUAUGCCCAAAAUUCCAUAAUCAAUCAAUCAAACUAAGGACAAAUAAGGAUUUUCUUAUUGUGAAAGAUGAAAUCUGGGCUAGAUAGGAAAUGAAUGCAAGAUAAAACAGAGGGGAGGAAAGUCAUGAGACACCUAACCCCCAAUUAUUGGGUAGGCUAACUAGAGGAAAGAUUCACAGUUGUAACUUCUCAAGGGUGCCAGAAGGAAGAGACCAAAGAGAAUGGAAUGAAUAUAAAAAACAAAGUAUUAUUUAGCAAGGUGCAUAAACAAUUAUGUAAAAAAAUUUAAAUUUAUAGCACAGUGUGCUGUUAAACAAACACACACACACACACACACACACACACACACACACACACACACACACACACAGUUAGAAAUUGGCACAAAGAGCACAAAUAAAAGAGAUGGAGAAAAAAUUAUGAGAAAUCUAAGCAUCGAUUAUUAUUGUGAUAUUGGGUAGUUUAAUUAAAACAAAGCAUCGAUUAUUAUUAUGAUAUUGGGUAGUUUAAUUAAAGCAAAGACACCAUUCUAGCCUCCCAUGGGUGGCCAGAAAGAAAAGACCAAAGAGAACAGAAUUAAUGUAAAAGACAAAAUCUUAUUAAGUAGGGUGUGGAAGUAACCCUGUAAAAAUUUAAAAACUUAUAUUACUGUACCCUUUACAGCACAUUGUUAAACAUACACACACUGUAAGUACCCCUCACCUCCCCAUGGAGCUGUCAAGAAUAAACCAAUCUCAGUGAUGAUUGAGUGACUACAUAUGACUCAUACAGGAAAGCUAAUUCUAUAAGAGGUGGUUGUACUUUUUUUAUAUUCAUUAUAUCAAAGGCCAAGUCACAUUGUUAGUGAGUUCUGUGUACUGUACUACUGAGAAAAUUUUUUGUAGUGGUUAUGAAUAUAAUAGUAUGUUCAGUUUGAAAUGAUUUUAUAAAUUGGACACAGUCAUGGUGAACUUAUUGUCAAUAAUAGUUUGAGAUGGUUUGUCCGACCUAGCGAUCCGUUCAUUAAGACAUAACCCACGUAGUAUAUUCCAGUGGGAAACAAAAAAUGGAAGAAACAUCCAAAGGUUGCUAACAUCAAUGUGGGCCAUCUGCAAGAUGACACAAGAGCAGUUGAACUAAAAAGAAUUUUAUAGCCAGAAAAACAAAUUGAAAACAAUUUUUGUUUCUGGUCAUCUUGAUAUUAAAACUUGGCUCAGUUAAGGCAACAGUAUACAGGUUACUUUUGGCUUGAAUGUAAAUUUCUGUAUUCUAAUGAAGUUGUAGAUAUGGCCUGGUUAAGUAUACUGUAAUUUUUAAUUGAUUUUUGCUAUUAAGAGGACUUCCAUAUAAAUUUACAAAAUCCAUUCAGAUGCUUAUUUUAGACUGUUAAGUAGGUAAAGUCUUGCUUCGUUUGUGAUAGGAAAGAUUUAGGAUGAUUGUAAAUGUUUUGUGUAUUGCAUAACUGAAUAUUACAUUUUUUUCUCCACUGUUACAAAGCUGUAUUCAACUCUUCGGUAGUCAUAUUUUAUGCUUGCCUAAGAUCAGACAUAUUAUUUAUGAAAAUGUGUUUGAUGCAUUUGUCUUUUUUACUCAGUACAGGACAAGAAAUACAAGGAAUAGAGGUAGCCCCUGCUGUUUUAUAGUUAGACUAAUUUCUAUCCAUUUUAUCUCUAGGCCAUUCCCAGCCUUGAAUGUGUCCAACCAGGUAGAUAUAUCCACUGACUGCUUACUGUUUUGUUAAGUUCUUUGAUUCAUGCCAGUUUACGGAAUAUAAUUGUUGUGCUUCCCAUACAAUGGCACCUGGAUCUUUAGUUAGCAUAUAUCCAUUUCAUUCAUAUCAAGUAAAUGUGUACGUACUUAGAUCCUUGUUGGGUGUGCUUUCUUCCUGUUUUUUGUUGACUUCUUUAAAUUUAGAACUGCAGUUCUCUUUUUCUUCACCUAUCACUGUAUGAAAACUGUUGAACAUCAUCUUGAAAUAAUCCAUUCUUCAAUGUUCAUAUUGUUAUUUUUAUUUGAUUGAUCUUACCCUUAUCACUGUCUAUCAGAUCUGCUAUAGAAAAGAAAAACUUUUAAAGAUUGUACAAUACUUUCAAAGUUGUACGGAAGGAUGACUUUUUUUUUAUCUAUUUUCUUUACAUAAAACAAGUAGGUGAGCAUUUCUGUUUUAUUGUUAUUCGUAUAUAUUAUCUUGUAACUUUAGGUGAAAUGGGACUGCUGCAGUAUUUGUGGAUUGAUUAGAAUUUAAAAGAGUAAUUGGGAAAAUCAUAACUAUUUUAAUCUUAUGAAUUGAAGAUUGGCUAUUUCUGUUCAAUUGUAUUUCAGUUACUUCAGUUAUAUAAUAUAUUGUAAUACUUAAGCAUAUAAAGACAGUGAUGCAGGAUUGCAUUUAUCAAAUGUUACCUUUUAUUAAUUACAAUUGUAUUUAUAAUACGUAUUAAGAUAUUGGUAAACAGUCUCAUGUGUCAUCCUGGGCCAUUUUUCAACAAAGUUAUUUUCAUUCAGUAGACAUUAAAAGGAUCUUAGAAAAUGGAAACACUGUAUGGAGAAUAUCCUGAUGUGUUUUCCAAUGUUUUUUUAAAAUGUGUUCUUCCAAACCAAAAAGAUAUCAUUUUUUUGUAAAUAGUAUUUCCCAGGAAAGUGGGAAUUAAGUUAUGUAAUGCAGUGUCUGUUCCAAAGCAUUGUGCAAGUGCCGAUUGUAAUUAUUAUAGGCCAUAGUAUGGUUCAAGGUUACUGAAAAGUUUAAAUUGUAUCGAAGUACCUAAUUUCGGACAGUCAAUAGCCCUACGUGAAAUGGCUUGGUAGUACUUAUAAUGUUCUGUGAGAUCUAAAUAGAUAUAUAUCUGUGACAGUCUUGACAGUAUAUUGAGUCCAGAUUUUGUCAGUUUGGCUUUAUUGCUGCCUUAAACUUGAACACCCAUAAGGUUUUUAUAUUAAAACAUGUAACUCAGGUACUGUAUGUUGUAUAACAUAUUUAAUCUCAUGUACAGUUUAUAAUCGACUAACUGCAGUUAGUGUUUGAGAACUUUUUUCUUGCUGCUAAUAUGAUUCAAGGUCUAGAAAAAAAGAUCAGGUAGUAUGAUGUUCAAUAUUCAGGUAUUUGCUUUCCGCAAAUGUGAUAAAGUUACUUCUAGCCUUAACAAGGCUCUUGAUUGAAUCAGUGGGUGGGGUAUGAUGAUAUUAAAUUUUCUUAAUAGUGUUGAAGAGCUUCAGCAAAAUUAAAGAUAUGUGUUAGUAACUGGUUUGGCAAUGUGCUGCCAACCAUGAUUUGCUUUGGAUUGGUAAUGCAGAUGUUAAUAAUUUUGAAUAUUUAAUGAGACAUUACUGUACUUUUCACUCUCAGCUUUCUUUCUCACAUAUAUCAGCUAAGGCACCCAGGGAGCUUGCUCUGAUUGACUAUUAUUGGGAUAUUUUUCUUCUUUCUGCACAUUAGCAGCAUAUUGAUAUUUUCAUCUUUUAGAUGACAGUGGUAUUUAUGAUUGUGUCUAGAGCUUGUACCCUUAGGGUUGGCGAGAUUUCUUGCCAGGUUACACAUUGUCUCAAUGACCAGUACCAGAGGUCUUUCAUUUCUUUUAAUUAAAGAUUUGUAAUGUUCUUCCUGGCUGUCUGUUUGUUACUUCACAAAUACAAACUUUCGCUCUUAAACAGCCAUUCAGACAUAUUGAUAAGGUAGUAAACUACCGACAGGCAGGGGGAACCUGCAUCCACUUGUCAUUCUGCAUUCAACUUCACUUCCGGCCACCGUCGAGUCCAGACGUUUUUCAUGACUCUGCCCAACUUUUGCCAUUCGAAUAUUUAUUGAUUAAACUUGAGUACUAUUUCGUUUCCUUUUUUUGGUUGUUGACUAUGUGUUUGUAUUGCAAUUUAUCAAACCCAUCAGUCAAAUAACCUUCUUGCAGGGAAUUAAGUUUGCUUUUUCGUGCUGCAGUGUAUACUGUUUUCGUCAGACACAUAACAGCUCUAUUAGUUAUGCAACUGCUGUAUCAUUCACUUAUAUACUUACUUUCUGAUAUAAUUACCUUUCAAACAUGGUAGAUUUAGCCACUCGUAAAUUUCGUGACAGUAAAGUUUGCCUUAUUCAAGUUAUUCCUGUUUUCAUGGCUUCUUUUUUAUUUAUUGGAAAUAGGCUAUGUAGCCUUAUUCCUCUAAUUUCUGUGGAUUAGUCUUUGAGAUAUUUGACUACUGCAGACUAGGCUAGUUUUGACAGUGGUGGAAGAAGGUAGAGGUGUUCUCCUUCCCUUCAUCAUCAUGUAUACCAUUCUUCUGAACCUUGCCACCACUCUGACUAGGACUGCAAGUUUACGGUGGAGAGUUGUCUGCCCAACAUUAGAGUACUUAUUAAGCUUUUUUCUGUCGAGUCUAACAUAAAGAGAAAAAGGAGAUGUCAUCUGCCCUAAUGAGAUCCAGUGGAAGAUUAGGUGAUGAAAUCUUCAUGUUAGGCCAUAAAAGCUUUAAACCACAAAGAGUGGUACAACACUGCCAGUGAUGUAUGGGUCCAUUAAAUUAUGAGACAAGAUGUUUGAUGAGAAGGAGCAACAUGCCAGGCUAAUGAUUUUAGCAGUGCUUGAACCUCUUCUUGCUGGCAGUCUGUUUUGUAUUUCCUCCAUGUCAAUACAAGGUUAUAGGGUACAUGGGAUGUGAUUGCUUGUAAUAUGUAAAUAUUUUUUCAGUAGGAAAUUGAGUUCAUCAUACAAUUUCUCCUACAAGAUUUGUAUAGCUGGGGCAGUUGAUUUAUGGUAUCUUUAUUUACUGUCCAUUUUCUCUCCUUUUUUUAACUCUUACAUAUUGAUAAUCUGGAAAUUUUAUUUUUUAGGCUUGUAAGCAUAUUCCAUGGAGUGUUUGCAAAUUUAUAAUACAGGCAGUCCCCCUGCUUAUCAGCAACUUCGGUUAACAGUGUUCUGGUUUUAUGGGGUUUGGCUAAUCGUUAACCAGCUUUUCAACUACAGUAAGUGAUUUUCGGCAUCGGUAAGAGGUUUAUUGACAUCAGUAACCAGGGACUGUCUUAAUAAUAACAAUUAUCAACUUAGAAGAUUCUUUUUAGAAUACUGCUGAAAUAUUUAAAUCAGUUGAUCUACACUCUAUGUACUAUCAGAAAACUUGUUUGUGAUUUCUUAACUAUAAUCAUUGCUGAAAAAAAGACCUUAUCUCCAGACAAAUAAUCUAUCAAGUUUCCUAACAAGAUCAUCUUGCAUCCUUCAGUGGUUAACUAAAUUUAUUUUCAGAACUGAAUGUGACUAAACUUUCCCAUUGUCUUUUAAGACGGUUUAUAACAAACCAGUUUCUUUAGCACACUCAAAUUAACACAAAGAAAGUGGAUCUGGGAACCCAGGAAUAUACCAGAGACCAACAAGCUCAAGCAGUAGAAGGGUUUAAUUCUGAAGUUCAAGGAUUUUCUUGUCACUUCCAAAUAUGACUUUCGACAAAUACAGUUGUUCAUGAUCUGUUAACCUUGAAGCACUUAAUUAUUUUAUCUGCUUCAAGAUAAAACCUGUUCGAUAGGUAUGUCAUGCUCUUUUAAUAGUUUGUUUAAUUUCUGGAUCUCCUCAAUGCCACAUGAUAUUCUGAUAUUGUAGACUUUGUGGAAGCAUCUGCAGUUUUGCAUGUGAAUGUGACAACUUUAGCAAAACUGAGAUUAGAGGGGCUAACUUGAAUGAUUAUUUUUAUGGGUGGGCACUGAAGUAGAUUGUGUUGGUGAGAGAUUUGUCACUGUUCUCUUUGAAAUACUGGUUUUUUUAUAUGAAUUCAAAGAAUCCAAGUCUUUCCUACUUUGAGAUAGUUCAUUUGGAGUUGCCUAGUAGGGAGAAAAAGAGAGUAGCUGUAAGAUAGGACUUUUGAAAUUGUUAAUACAGAACUGUCUCAGAGUCAGAGAGCCAGUAGUACCAAUAAUUAAAAUAAACAGGUUUUCCCAUCACUGGUUGCAUAACUAAAUUCGUAAUGCUCACCCACUCAGACAACUUAUUUGGUGAACACUUCUUAGACUCUCAUGACAGAUAUAAAAGAAUAACUGUAAAUAUGUAGAUGUAUUGAGACCAUUAAGACUUGCAACAGCUUAGUUAGCAGUAAAACUGAUUUCCAUAGGCAAAGCUCACCUUUUGCACUGAAUCUCUCUCUCUCUCUCUCUCUCUCUCUCUCUCUUAGUUGAUUGAUUGACAGGUUUUUGUUGCACUUUUGUACUUAAUGGUUAAAGGUUACAUAGAUAAACAAAUGUCAUGGAAUAGUAAUUGUGUAUGCAUAACUAUCUGCUGACAUAAUGGUAAAUACGAAAGGAAUAAGUAAAGUUAAGAAAAUCUGAGCAGAUUAGUAUUGAUUGCCUCAUAAAUCAUAUGGUGCUUGAUUUAUAUAAUGCUUUAUUUCCAGUUUUAUUCUUCCUAUACAUGUCUUCCAAGAUUUCCUAAAAAAUGUUUGUAGAUAUAUAUAUUGAUCCACUGUGAAAAACAAAGAAGUAUUGUUUAUAUUGAUAUAAACAAACAAAGCAAAGAACACAUUGGUAGAAGAGACAGUCUGAAAGCAUCAUAUGUGAAAGUGCCAUUACAUGUUGAAAAAGAAUUUCCUGAUAUUUAAUCUUAAACAUUUAACAUGGUAAAUAAGCACCAUAGUGUCAACCAUUGCGUAAUCUCUGUUCUGAAUGCAUCUUAAAUUAUGAUAUUGCAUGGUUGAAGGAAAUAUUCAGGGAAGUCAUUAUAAGUCAUUUAGGUGCACAAAGAAAUAAAUAUGAGUGUGAUAAACUGUAUGCUUGGGAUAUGUGUAUCUUAUGUAUGUUUGUAAAAAAAUAAAGGUUUUACUCUAGUAAA